rnacentral:rRNA from 1 species
AUGCCGCGCAAGAGCACCAUGUCCUCCCUUUUCUUCCUCGUUGCACUGCUGCUCUCAUGCAGCUCCAUGAGCAGCGCAGCACGGUACCUAGAGGAGGCUGUGCCCAAGGAGUAUCCACCACAUCCGAUCGUCCCGGAACAGCCAAAGCCGGAACUUCCACCGCACCCUGCCAUGCCCGAGCUGCCGAAGCCUGAACUACCGCGCCCUCUCGUUCCCGAAGUGCCACACCCCGUGGCGCCGGAGACACCAAAGGAGCCUGAAGUGCCACACCCCGUGGUGCCGGAGACACCAAAGGAGCCUGAACUGCCGCACCCCGUGGUGCCGGAGGUGCCAAAGCAUGAGCUGCCGCCGCACCCUGCUAUGUCUGAGCUCCCGAAGCCUGAACUACCGCAUCCGGCUGUGCCACAGACGCCAAAGGAGCCUGAAGUGCCACAUCCCGUGGUGCCCGAGGUGUCAAAGCAUGAGCCACUGCCGCACCCUGCUAUGCCCGAGCUCCCAAAGCUUGAACUACCACAUCCGGUUAUGCCUGAGGUGGCAAAGGAGCCGGAAGUGCCACACACUGGCGUACCGGAGGUGCCAAAGGAGCACGAGCUGCCGCACCCUGCCUUGCCAGAGUUGCCGAAGCCUGAAAUGCAACACCAUGCCGUGCCAGAGGUACCAAAGGAGCCCCAUGUGCCGCACCCUGAGGUACCAGAAGUCGCAAAGGAGCCCGAGUUACCGCAUCCUACUGUGCCAGAGGUCCCGAAGCACGAAAUGCCGCCGUUCCCCAAAGCCGAGCUGCCCCCGAAGCCCGAGUUUCAUUUUCCGGAGCCAGAGGCCAAGCCAUGA